ACUGGUGUCUCUUGUUCUUUCCUGCUCCGUGUCCCACGGUGCUUCCGAGCUCUGCUCCUCCCCUCUGUGCUCACCCGCAAAUGCCCGCGAGCCUGCGCAUCUGACAUGCUGCUGCCUCUGCUGGCCCUGCUGUGGGCAGGGUCUCUGGCUGUGCACCCAAGAUACAUGCCAGAUCUGGUGUCAGUGCAGGAGGGCCUGUGCGCGCUUCUACCCUGCCAGUUCUAUUUCCGCUUCUCCUCCCUACGUGACUUUGCCACUGGCUCCUGGCUCCGGGAUGGGUCUGAUCGUCUUCGCUACUCUCCAGUAGCCACAAACAACCCUCAACAACAAGUGCCAGGGGAGGUUCAGGGCAGGUUCCGCCUCCUCUGGGACUUACAGACCAGAAAUUGCUCCCUUCUCAUCAGGGAUGCUCAGAGCCGCGACAGUGGCUCUUACUUCUUUCAGAUGCACCCAGAAAAUUUUGGAAGAAAUUUUUAUCCGAAUCCUCUUACUGUGAAUGUCACAGCCCUGACUCAUACCCCUGACAUCCUCAUCCAUGGGCCUUUAGAGUCUGGCCGUCCCAGCAACCUGACCUGCUCUGUGCCCUGGGCCUGUGAACACGGGACUCCCCCCAUCUUCUCCUGGCAGGGGCCCUCUGUGUCACACCUGGGUCCCACCGUCACCAACUCCCCAGUGCUCAUGCUCACCCCACAGCCCCAGGACCAUGGCACCACCCUCACCUGUCAGGUGACUCUGCCUGGAGCUGGCGUGAUCGUGGAGAAGACGGUGCAGCUCAAUGUCACCUAUUCCACAAGGAGCUCCACAGUUGAUAUCUCCCCGGGACCCAGCUCAGGGAAAUCAGAGCCCAUGGCCGAGGUGGUGCUGGUAACCAUUGUGGAGGUGGCUGUCAAGAUCCUGCUUCUUGGGCUCUGCCUCUUCUUCCUCAGAAUGAAGUACCAAAGGAAGAAGGUGGCAAGACCACAAGUGAACUUGGACACUGCCAUGAAUUAAACUCUCAAGUGAGCGAACUCUGCGAACCCCACAUCCCUUCAGCCACCUCCAUCACGAUGACCCCAGAACUGCCAGCAAACAGGCAUGAGCAAUCACCCUUUAUGAUGCUGAGCCCUCUUCCACUGCUGGGGUCCAGUGAUGCUCAUGGCUGAUGGCCCCACAUAUAAAGCCGGAUGAGGGCGUGUUCACUACAACCUCCCUUCAUCUCCCUCAUCUCACAGAUCACUAACUGAUCUUUCUUUCCUCCUGAACCUGAGCUGGACCAAGUCCUUCUCCAUCCUGACCACAGUCAUUCCUGGGCCUCGUCUCUCCCCUGACCACUGAAGCCACCUCACUGCUGCUUCAUCUCUCCUGACACCAGCCUCCAGGAUGUGACUGCAGACUCCGUCAUCACGCACUGCCUGCACAUGUCCUCUCCACGGGCAGAGAUGGGCCUUGGUGCACCAAUUCCAAGCAUCUCAAGAGUGCUACUGCCUAGAUCCCACCACAAUGCUUCUCUCCCGGAGAAUUUCUAAAGGAUGUGAUCACUAAGGAGAAGAGGACACUGGGGACAGUCCCAGAACACUACAUGGAACAACUGGAAGGAAGGCAGCCCUUUGUAAAGAACAGGGUUCUAAGAAAAGAGAGUAAUCUUUAGAAGCCUUCUGAAACCCCAUAGGAAUCCAGGCAGAGAGCUGGAGAAAGAAGUGGGGAGAGAGAAGGGCCCACGCUGAGGUGAAGGAGCCCACAGGGGAGGCAAGAAGAGGACAGAAGAAACACACAUGGGGUCAGAGAAAUACACUUAUCACCCACGAUCUUCACAGCAGCAGUUUCUCUUCAUUUAUUAACUGUAAUAAUUUUUGUGUUGCCUUUAGAUAUCUAUAGGAAAUAUUUCUGGCCUAUUGAGGUAUAAGUGACAAAUAAAAGCUCAGACACUUUUAGUAUGCAAUGUGAUUUUUGUGGAUAGCCACUUCAACAGUUUAUCAUUUUUGUGAUUGAUGUCAUUAUCUUGCAGAUGAACAGAAGCUGUAGAUGCAAUGCUUUGCAAGAGAGCC